rfam:Triticum aestivum genome assembly, contig: Triticum_aestivum_CS42_TGACv1_scaffold_592697_7BS
AUAGUACUCCCUUCGUCCGGAAAUACUUGUCGGAGGAGUGAAUGCAUCUAGACGUAUUUUAGUUCUAGAUACAUCCAUUUUUAUGCAUUUCUCCGACAAGUAUUUCCGGACGGAGGGAGUAGUAU